AGAGUUUGAUCCUGGCUCAGAUUGAACGCUGGCGGCAUGCCUAACACAUGCAAGUCGAACGCGAAAGCACUUCGGUGCGAGUAGAGUGGCGGACGGGUGAGUAACGCGUGGGAACCUACCUGGUAGUGGGGGAUAACUCGGAGAAAUCCGGGCUAAUACCGCAUACGCCCUAAGGGGGAAAGAUUUAUCGCUAUCAGAUGGGCCCGCGUCGGAUUAGCUUGUUGGUGAGGUAACAGCUCACCAAGGCGACGAUCCGUAGCUGGUUUGAGAGAACGAACAGCCACACUGGGACUGAGACACGGCCCAGACUCCUACGGGAGGCAGCAGUGGGGAAUAUUGCACAAUGGGGGAAACCCUGAUGCAGCAAUGCCGCGUGUGUGAAGAAGGCCUGCGGGUUGUAAAGCACUUUCAGAUGGGAAGAUGAUGACGUUACCAUCAGAAGAAGCACCGGCUAACUCCGUCCCAGCAGCCGCGGUAAUACGGAGGGUGCGAGCGUUAAUCGGAAUUACUGGGCGUAAAGCGCGCGUAGGCGGCUCAGUCAGUCAGAUGUGAAAGCCCUGGGCUUAACCUGGGAACUGCAUUUGAUACUGCUGGGCUAGAGUCUGGUAGAGGGUAGUGGAAUUCCAGGUGUAGCGGUGAAAUGCGUAGAUAUCUGGAAGAACAUCAGUGGCGAAGGCGGCUGCCUGGACCAAGACUGACGCUGAGGUGCGAAAGCGUGGGUAGCAAACAGGAUUAGAUACCCUGGUAGU
rnacentral:rRNA from 1 species